AGAGUUUGAUCCUGGCUCAGGACGAACGCUGGCGGCGUGCUUAACACAUGCAAGUCGAACGGUGAAGGAGGAGCUUGCUCUUCUGGACCAGUGGCGAACGGGUGAGUAACACGUGAGUAACCUGCCCUUGACUCUGGGAUAAGCGUUGGAAACGACGUCUAAUACCGGAUACGAGCUGAGACCGCAUGGUCAUCAGUUGGAAAGAUUUUUUGGUCAAGGAUGGACUCGCGGCCUAUCAGCUUGUUGGUGAGGUAAUGGCUCACCAAGGCGACGACGGGUAGCCGGCCUGAGAGGGUGACCGGCCACACUGGGACUGAGACACGGCCCAGACUCCUACGGGAGGCAGCAGUGGGGAAUAUUGCACAAUGGGCGCAAGCCUGAUGCAGCAACGCCGCGUGAGGGAUGACGGCCUUCGGGUUGUAAACCUCUUUUAGUAGGGAAGAAGCGAAAGUGACGGUACCUGCAGAAAAAGCACCGGCUAACUACGUGCCAGCAGCCGCGGUAAUACGUAGGGUGCAAGCGUUGUCCGGAAUUAUUGGGCGUAAAGAGCUCGUAGGCGGUUUGUCGCGUCUGCUGUGAAAACUGGAGGCUCAACCUCCAGCCUGCAGUGGGUACGGGCAGACUAGAGUGCGGUAGGGGAGAUUGGAAUUCCUGGUGUAGCGGUGGAAUGCGCAGAUAUCAGGAGGAACACCGAUGGCGAAGGCAGAUCUCUGGGCCGUAACUGACGCUGAGGAGCGAAAGCGUGGGGAGCGAACAGGAUUAGAUACCCUGGUAGUCCACGCCGUAAACGUUGGGAACUAGAUGUGGGGGCCAUUCCACGGUCUCCGUGUCGCAGCUAACGCAUUAAGUUCCCCGCCUGGGGAGUACGGCCGCAAGGCUA
rnacentral:rRNA from 1 species